UCUGCUUUAUCCCGAGUUACUAGCCGGACAGGGAGGAGGGGCAGCGUUUUCUGGUUCCAGGAGGGGAAAGUACGGAUCAGAUCCGGCCUCUUGAUGUGUGCAGAAAGGUUUUCUCUGCUGUUCCCCAACCUGAGAACGGGCCCUGGAAAAGUACUUCUUGUUGGUUAGAGCUGCAGACUGGCUCAGACUCUCUAUCUUUUCCUGCCUGACCCUCAUUUGAAUGUGUUUGGAGCAGACGAUCAUGAGCAGGGAGGUGCUGCUGACAUGAAGGGCACGUGCUGCCAAAGGGGCAUGUUGACUGCCCUGAAAGUGCUAGAGAUGAUGGAACUCAGGACCCAAACUCCAAGCAAAUUCUUCCACUGGCG